rnacentral:rRNA from 1 species
UUUCUUAUGUGGAGCCUGUGCAUCAGCUUAUCUCGCUCCACAUCAGGCAACGGCCGGCACGCGCGCCUUAAGUUCACCGCUAGCUGUGUGGUAGUGCUGCCUGCUGCGUCCGCUCCACUCUGCCAGCUAGCGCUCAUGGCAUCUCUUGAGCUCGACUCUACCCUAGUCCUCUGCCUCCUUUUCGUGGUAUCUUGCUUCACCAUCGUCCUCAGAGGCUUCGGAUAUGGCCGAAAGGGCACGCAGCCGCCUUCGCCGCCUGGGUUGCCCAUCAUCGGCAACCUGCACCAGCUCGGGCGGGGCCGUCCUCACCGGACUCUGGAGGCUCUUGCGCGGCGCCACGGCCCGCUCCUCCUCCUCCGCCUCGGCUCCGUGCGGGCCAUCGUGGUCUCCUCGGCCUCGCUCGCCGAGGCGGUGCUGAGGACCCAGGACAACGUCUUCUGCAGCCGCCCGCAGCAGUACACGGCCCGCGGCACGCUCUACGGCUGCCGGGACGUCGGCUUCAGCGCCUACAACGAGCGGUGGCGCCAGCUCCGCCGCAUCGCCGUGGUGCACCUCCUCAGCAUGAAGCGGGUCGACUCCUUCCGCGCUCUCCGGGAGGAGGAGGUCGCGCGCUUCGUGGGACGGGUCCGCGCGGCGAGUGGGAGUGGCGCGCACGAGGGGCGUCGGGGAAUCAACGUGACGGAGCUCAUCAUCACCUUAACCUACACCGUGAUCUCCAGGGCUGCGUUCGGGAACAAGCUUGGUGGGGUGGAGCCGGUCAAGGUCCGCGACAUGAUGAAG